rnacentral:rRNA from 1 species
AUUGAACGCUGGCGGCAUGCCUUACACAUGCAAGUCGAACGGCAGCGCAGUAUUCGGCCUCGCUGCGAGUGGCGAACGGGCGAGUGAUGCAUGGGAACGUGCCCAGCUGCUGGUUCUAGGGGGACGAAGGCGGGAUUAAUACCGCAAUAGAGCUGACGGUGUAAGCGGGGGACCGAGAGGUCUUGCGCCAUUGCGCGGGCCGAUGUCGGAUUAGCUAGUUGGUGGGGUAAAGGCGUACCAAGGCGACGAUCCGUAGCUGGUCUGAGAGGACGACCAGCCACACUGGGACUGAGACACGGUCCAGACUCCUACGGGAGGCAGCAGUGGGGAAUAUUGGACAAUGGGCGCAAGCCUGAUCCAGCCAUGCCGCGUGGGUGAAGAAGGCCUUCGGGUUGUAAAGCCCUUUUGUUGGGGAAGAAAUGCAGUGGGCUAAUACCCCGCGGUUAUGACGGUACCCGAAGAAUAAGCACCGGCUAACUUCGUG